rnacentral:rRNA from 1 species
AUUGAACGCUGGCGGCAGGCUUAACACAUGCAAGUCGAGCGAGCGGCGGACGGGUGAGUAAUGUCUGGGAAACUGCCUGAUGGAGGGGGAUAACUACUGGAAACGGUAGCUAAUACCGCAUACCAUCAGAUGUGCCUAGAUGUGAUUAGCUAGUAGGUGGGGUAAUGGCUAACCUAGGCGACGAUCCCUAGCUGGUCUGAGAGGAUGACCAGCUACACUGGAAUUGAGACACGGUCCAGACUCCUACGUGACGCAGCAGGGGGGAAUAUUGCACAGUGGGCGCAAGACUGAUGCAGCCAAGUCGCGUGUGGAAAGAAGGGCUUCGGGUUGGAAAGCACUUUCAGCGAGGAGGCGUGACUCGCAGAAGAAGCACAGGCUAACUGCGUGCCAGCAGCCGCGGUAAUAC